rnacentral:rRNA from 1 species
GCCGGAAGGCAUGCUUGGAAU